ensembl:lncRNA novel transcript
CCGUCCGACUGCGAGCCCUGGGAGUUUAGAGGGAGACACGAGCCCUCCCACCUCCUGGGGUCCCACACACCGUGCUCAGGCUGGGAGGUUCAGGCCGGGACUAGGGGCCCUUGGCCACAAGGGAGCCACCUUCCUUCCCAACCUGGGGAGGUGCUGGGGCUGCUGGGUUGACGGCAGGGGCGUCUCCGCUGUGCCAGCCGGGGUCACCUCUCUCCCCAGAGUCGCUGCCGCCGCCCUACCGCCUGCAGCAGGCGAGUGUGCAGGUGCUGGAGAACGCCGUCUGUGAGCAGCCCUACCGCAACGCCUCAGGGCACACUGGCGACCGGCAGCUCAUCCUGGAUGACAUGCUGUGUGCCGGCAGCGAGGGCCGAGACUCCUGCUACGGUGACUCCGGCGGCCCUCUGGUCUGCAGGCUGCGGGGGUCCUGGCGCCUGGUGGGGGUGGUCAGCUGGGGCUACGGCUGUACCCUGCGGGACUUUCCCGGCGUCUACACCCACGUCCAGAUCUACGUGCUCUGGAUCCUGCAGCAAGUCGGGGAGUUGCCCUGAGCAGGCUGGGCUGGGCUCCCACCUGGGUCGGCUGAGGAGGGACCAGGACCUUCCUCCUCCCAGCGAUCUCCGCUUCGGCCUCCGCUGCAGGCCACCGUCUUGAGCCCGGCUUCUCUGGCUCCUCAGCGCCCAGGACCUCCCUGAUGCCGGGGUGGGGAAGGGGCCGGGGAAGGGAGGGUGGGGGCCUCGCUGCGUCUCUGUCUGAUUAAAGAGCAAGAGCAGAGUGUGUGGCGUCUCUGUGGGAUGGAUUUGCAUUCCAAGCUGCAGCCAGGUGCGGUUUGCUCAGCCACCUCCUGUUGGAGGCCUCCACAUUUUGGCUAUGGUAAUAAAGAUGCUGAGAACAUUCAU